rnacentral:rRNA from 1 species
AGAGGGUGCAAGCGUUAAUCGGAAUUACUGGGCGUAAAGGGCGCGUAGGUGGAUACUCAAGUUGGAUGUGAAAUUCCCGGGGCUUAACCUGGGGGCGGCCAUUCAAAACUGGGUAUCUAGAGUACAGUAGAGGGUAGUGGAAUUUCCGGUGUAGCGGUGAAAUGCGUAGAUAUCGGAAGGAACACCAGUGGCGAAGGCGACUACCUGGACUGAUACUGACACUGAUGAGCGAAAGCAUGGGUAGCGAACAGGAUUAGAUACCCUGGUAGUCCAUGCUGUAAACGAUGAAUACUAGCUGUUAGAAGUCUUAGAACUUUUAGUAGCGGAGCUGACGCAUUAAGUAUUCCGCCUGGGGAGUACGGCCGCAAGGCUA